GACGAACGCUGGCGGCGUGCCUAACACAUGCAAGUCGAACGGAGAUAUUCGCUGAUGAAGUACUUCGGUAAUGAUUCUUGAAUAUCUUAGUGGCGGACGGGUGAGUAACGCGUGAGCAACCUGCCUUUCAGAGGGGGAUAACGUUCGGAAACGAACGCUAAUACCGCAUGAUAUUGUUGAGUCGCAUGACUUGAUAAUCAAAGGAGCAAUCCGCUGAAAGAUGGGCUCGCGUCCGAUUAGGUAGUUGGUGGGGCAACGGCCCACCAAGCCGACGAUCGGUAGCCGGACUGAGAGGUUGAACGGCCACAUUGGGACUGAGACACGGCCCAG
rnacentral:rRNA from 1 species